GAUCGCCUAAACCACAUACCUAAAUUCCACUAAAUGGGUCGACCCUAAACCAAAUACCCUAAUUAUGAACGAAUCAUACCGACCGUCUCGAAUCUUCGACGACGAUCUUCCGAUUUUGUCAGACACCGACGAUUUUCAGAGUGCAGAAACUGUUAGUCUUCUGCGGUUAUGUGAUGGCCUCUCAUCCAUCUGGAAAUGAGAAAUUACGUUUAGUCGUUUGGGUUUUCGAUUGAUUGCAAUAGCUGGCGUGCCACCACUCAUAUAAUAGCUUAAUCGAUGGAGUUGUUACCGCCACUGCCGCCAGACUGAUAUGAUACUUUUAGAUGCUAGACGACAGUUGAUGUUAAGUUUCCGGCACCUGAUUGAGUUCGUUAGAAAGAUGACGGGGUAUGGGCUCACGGAUCCGGUGAACAGAAAAGAGUAUAUUGAUUACUCGAGUACGAUUGAUAUUGAGUAGAAAACGAAUGCCAAGGAAUAAAAGCAAAGACAGAAAAACUUGAAAGAAUGCUUAUUUAUGUAAAGGUGAUGAGCCGAUUGUAUUUUUAAUCUCAAAUAAUGCAUGAAUGAUGAUUACAAUCGGUGAAGAUACAAUUGAAAAACUAAAGGGAUCAUGUUUUUACGAUAUUUAAGAAGGCUGACUAUAUGAACUUCAGAAACGUGAAACAAUGGACGACAGAGGGGAAUAAAAUCAAAGGUGAAGAAAACGAAAGCAGUAAGAGGAGGAAAACCACUGUGAUAUGCAAACAGAAUGUUAGGGACAACGUAUUCUGCAACAGCAAGGAGUCUUUACGUUCAACAGGGAUUACAAAAGGAAAUGAAGGGCAUUUUGGACAAUUUAGUUUAGUAAAAAAAGCGGGAAAAUUCGAUUUUGGGGGGCUUGGAGAUUGCCGAUUGCCACGUGGCGAAAUUGUAUUUAUUUAUUAGAUUAGGGGAUAUAUAUAUAUAUAUAUAUAUAUAUAUAUAUAUAUAUAUAUAUAUAUAUAUAUAUAUAUAUAUAUAUAUAUAUAUAUAUAUAUAUAUUAGAUCGUAAUGUAAAUUUAGCUAUUUUACAUUAGAAGAACCAUGUUGUUAUGGUUGCAUUUUGGUUAAAAUCUAACCCGAAUGAAAAACUCUCUCUUUCAAGUCUAAUAUUUUAACUAAAACUUUGUCAUCAAAUAUGUAAUUGAUUUAAUGUCAAACAAACCAAAGAUGAGUGAAGCAAAAAAAAAAAAAAAAAAAUCAAUGGUACAAAUAACAAACAGAAAGAAA